CUCUCUAUUACCACGGCGCAUCGACUUAGAUGACCCCAUCCCUUCAGCCAACUUCACCAGUUGCUCCCCAUCUCAUCAAGGAGCCAUUUUAUCAUUGCCACUGCCUUCCAGAAGGGACCAACCAACAUGAACCAACAAGAAUUACUCCAGGACUCAGGGAUCAACACCUGGGUUUCAAUUGGUUUGAGAGAGAUGAAAAGGAAUUGGAAGUGGGUAGGGUCAAAACAGUGGUACAGUCUACAUAGAACACAGAUGAAGACUUGAGGAAAAUCGCCUUGUUUUCAGGACAAAUUCCAUUUUUUG